UGUUUUUUCAUUUUUUUAUUUUUUAUUUAUAUGAUAGCUUCAUUAAUUGGUUCCUUUUGGCUUUCAUCCAUCUACUGUAGUUCCCUAGACAUUUACCAAUUAUCCACCUGUGUAGUUGCUGAUAUUGGGAUCCCAACUUUGUGGUUUGAUCCCUACAGUGAAAUAUAUGGUAUUGCUGCUUUAGCUGCUUUGCCUGAAGGAAAAUUAAAAAUCCUCUUCUGUUUUAUAUUUCUUUUAAAUUUUUUAUUAGUUGGCUAUACAGCAAAUGACAUUUAAUGACUA
rnacentral:misc_RNA from 1 species